rnacentral:rRNA from 1 species
UUACGGGCGGCAGCAGUGGGGAAUAUUGGACAAUGGGCGAAAGCCUGAUCCAGCCAUGCCGCGUGUGUGAAGAAGGCCUUCGGGUUGUAAAGCACUUUCAGUGGGGAAGAAAGCCUUGGGGCUAAUACCCUCGAGGAAGGACAUCACCCACAGAAGAAGCACCGGCUAACUCCGUGCCAGCAGCCGCGGUAAUACGGAGGGUGCGAGCGUUAAUCGGAAUUACUGGGCGUAAAGCGCGCGUAGGCGGUCUGAUAAGCCGGUUGUGAAAGCCCCGGGCUCAACCUGGGAACGGCAUCCGGAACUGUCAGGCUAGAGUGCAGGAGAGGAAGGUAGAAUUCCCGGUGUAGCGGUGAAAUGCGUAGAGAUCGGGAGGAAUACCAGUGGCGAAGGCGGCCUUCUGGACUGACACUGACGCUGAGGUGCGAAAGCGUGGGUAGCAAACAGGAUUAGAUACCCUGGUAGUC